UGCCGGGACUGUGGGACCAGAAACACAGGCGAGAUGAGUUGCCUGGGGAACAGGGCUUCAGCAAAUGACAAAGGAGAGCUCCAAGGAGAAAGGAAACUUCAGUGGUCCUUUCCCGGCUUCCUCUCCUUGCAUGGACCUUAAUGUCACUUCCUGAGGGAAGCCCUCCCUGAGACUCCAGAUAAGCCUGGAAUGUGAAUGUGAUAACUGGAGCCACAGCAGCCAUUUUGGACCAUAAAGUGACCUUGAGAAGUGACCACUGAAGAUGAAACAAGAUAGAAGGAGGCUGGGUCCCUGUGGAUUUCUUGGAGAAGAAUGGCCAACCCCACCCUGAACUGCCUACCUCUGGACAUUUGCGUGAGUGAGAAAUACACCUCUAUCCUGUGGAUUUUGAGACUGUUGGAUGUGUAAGUCUGGAGUCAAAGAGUGGUCUGGCCAUGAGAUCCACAUUUGGAAGUCGUCAUCAUGCUGAGGGGAUUGGAAGCCCUGGGAGCUGGCGAGGAGGCAGAGGGGACGGUCCCUUUCCCUCCGGGCUAUCUACCAUGUCCUCUUCUUUGCUCUCAAAAGCUUCCAAAACCUUGCUUCCUUCCAAGAAGUCUUCUCAAGUGGAAAGGACAGAGUGUGCUCAGGGCUGGCCCAGCCCUGCCCUUUCUGCCUUCGGGACUUCAAGGUCCUUCCAUUCCUCAGCCCCAUCCUCAGCCUUGACCUUCAACGAAAGUACCCUUGUCUGAUGAGCCUUUGCAGUCAUUGCUGUGCCCCCUCGGACUCUUACAGACAAGACGCCCCCUGUGCCGGGGAUCAGCGGCUGCAGAGGAGGAAGGGGCGCCUGCCCCAGGACAACCCAGGGACUCGAGAAGCCUCCGUCUCCACCUGCCUUGCUCUUAAACGCUGCCCAUAAAACCCUCUUCCCGCUCUUCUCUCGACUGCACAUCGCAGAUACGCAGUAAAAGCGUGUUGAAUGUAUGAGGUCAUUUUAUCACUUGGUUGCCUGAUCAGUACGUCUGUCAGAAAGCCCAUCUUUUCGAUUUUAGCUUUGGGCUUAGCUGCAAACAAGCUGGCCGGUAUUUUCCAGAUAAGUACUUGUCAAGGGAAAGUUCCUCCUGGAGAAGUAGCUUGCCACAGAGUGAAAAGCGUGAGGAGUAAGGCCCAUCUUUCUCGACUGUGUAAAACGGGAUGACAGUCCCCACACCACACGUCUUACAAUUAAGUUGGUCUGAGGAAUGAGCAAAAGUCCCCAGCCCAACAAUGCUUUUGCCUUCACAGAGAGAUGGUGGGCUCAUACGCCAUUACCCCAUCCCAACCUGAGCCUUCUUUGUUGAGUGGAAUAAGCCCAGUUCCUCUCAUUUUCUUCUUCCAUAUGACAUUUUGCAGCAAAACAUUCGAUGCCUACAGGGCUUGGAAACUGGCCUUGGCUUACCGACAACAGGGAGCGUGCUGGGUAUUCUUGCACCAUGGCCCUGCACGCCCGCUUCCCUCUUCUAGCCGCCCGCCGGUUUUGCUUGUGGGUAAUUUCCUCUCCCAUGUCAUGUUGUGUGAGUGGUGAGAGGGGGGAUAAUCAAGGGGCCUGUCCACUCCCUAUGGAAGCCAAUGAGCUCUCUCCUUCACUACCUUAAUCCAUCAAAGGGCAGGCGGGGGCCCUAAUCUUCCGGGAGAAUCUCAAAUGGUGAGCAGGGUGACACAAAGCAAGAAGAGGGCUUGGAGGAGAUUUCAUUUGCCCCAGGAGUGGUCCCCAUCCUGACCUCUAGAGUGCCUGCUGCCCAGCUGGGUUCCUGACUAGGUUUCCUGCCUUCCCUCAUUGCUCUAAACUCCCAAUAGCAUCCCAUCACAUUCCCUUCUGCCCAAGGUAGCCAAGAGUCCGUUUCUGUCACUUGCGACCACAAGAUUUUGAACGGAUCCAGGCAGUUUCUGAGAGGGGCACUAUGUUAUCAUUAAUAUCCAGCAUUGCCGAAGAGGGAGGAUUAAUUAGUGUGAACCCUCUUACUUCACCUAUCUUUGGGGCAGUCCACAGAGGAUUUCUCCCUGAGCUGCUAAUGAAUUUUGCAACUGUCACAAAACAAUGCAAAUAAGUAAGACCCACAUCUGCUGAACAUCAUGAUGAGGUCAAACUGUGUGUAAAUAAACACUUGCAUCAAGGAGAGGGUAAAUCCUAAGGUGAGGAGUGACAGGGAUUUGUUUGCAUAAACCCAGCAAGGUAUUAUGGGUAGGAUAUUAAUUAAAUCAUGCUCUUGGGCCUCACGGAGGCCCAGCUCCAUGGCCUCAGCUUGUUGACAAACCCAACACGAGGCCCCCGGAGAGAGCGCUAACAUUUUGAUGAACAGGGUUUGUUGCAGGUGAUGUUUCCUAACUAGCAUUUUAAUAUCACUUUUGAUGCUUUGUCUGAGCCACCGGAAAAGAAUGUUCAGAUAAAAGAGAGGGGCAAAUAUCAAAUGUCCAGAAGGUGACACUUCCAUCUAAUCUUGGUCUGUCGGCCUCGCUUCCUGGGAGGAAUGUUUGGCCUCUCCUACCCUUCCCCAGGCCUCCCGGCACUCCCCAGUCUUACCUUUCUUCCCAGUGCACACACAGCUGUGAGAACAUCUCUGAAGACUGUUGAAGUUGCCUCAGGUUUAAAUAAUGCCUGAGUGAGUACUAUCAGAAUCACUGAUAGUCUGCCUAAGACGCCUUCCAUAUGCCCUUUUGUUCUUUCUUCCUUUUUGAAGAAAUUAACCUGAUGGUAGGUACCCUACUGUCUUCACGGAAAGGGCUUUUAUUUUAAGGUUGAAAUAAAAGAACCCAUCUCAGCUGGAGUCAGAGAUUGGCCAUUGAAAGACUCUCUGUGACCACCAGAUGUGCCCACUCUCUGAGAGAUGCUGACGUUCCAGCUCCUGGUAAUUGACUAAUGGCCCUGGUCCACCCAUCCUAACCAUUUCCGUCUUCAUUUGCACUACAUGGCCUCUUUCAGCUCAAAAUUUCAUGCUUCAUUUGAGGAUUAUAAAGGCUCUUUUCUGAGAGAAUAUACAGACAAAUAUGAACUAAUAAAUGAUCCCACUAUCCCCCUGGGAGUGUGCAAUCGUCCUGUGACCCACCAGCCUCCCUGGCAUUCUCUGACUUAGGCCGGUGUCCAGUAUCAGUGGGGUCCCUGCUUCGUCCCCUCCCUCCCCCCGCCACUCCAGCCAGCAGCUCUCAACCCUGUUUCCUCAAAAAGAUAUUAAGAAUCUAUCCACUUCACACCAUCUCUGCUUCCCGGCUGGUUGCUUGCCUUGACUAUAAAACCAGACCCCCACUUCUUCUAUUGCCCCUUCCAAUCAUUACCCAAUUCUCUACCCAGCAUGUAGAGGGAGAUUUCGAGGACCUAAAUCUGGAAAAGUCAUUUCUUGCAAUGUUCAUUGCAGCUCUAUUUACAAUAGCCAGGACAUGGAAGCAAUCUAAGUGCCCGUCGACAGAUGAAUGGAUAAAGAAGAU